AACUUGUCUAUCAUUUUCAUAAAUAAUUUGUGUAAUUAGCACACAGCAAAUUUGUGAAAAUGUCAUUUUUGUGCUUCGGUAUGCUAAUUUUCGGUUGUUUUAUGUGUCUAGCGUUCGAACGGAAUGUCCUAGGACAACGAUUCUUUCAUCAGAUUAUAAGUAUUGAAUUUGUUUAUCAUUUUCAUAAAUAAUUUGUGUGAUUAGCAUACAGGAAACCUGUGAAAAUGUCAUUUUUGUGAUUUGAUAUGCUAAUUUUCGGUUGUUUUAGGUGUCUAGCAGGCAAACGGAAUGUCCUAGGACAACGAUUCUUUCAUCAGAUUGUGUCUAGCGGGCGAACGGAAUGUCCUAGGACAACGAUUCUUUCAUCAGAUUGUGUCUAGCGGGCGAACGGAAUGUCCUAGGACAACGAUUCUUUCAUCAGAUUGUGUCUAGCGGGCGAACGGAAUGUCCUAGGACAACGAUUCUUUCAUCAGAUUGUGUCUAGCGGGCGGACGAAAUGUUUAAAACAACGGUCCUAUUACGAUAUUGUAAGUAUUGAAAUUGUUUCUUAUUUUUGUAAAUAAUUUUCGUGUUACAUACAUUAAAAUGUAAAUUAAAUUUGUACACACAAUUAAAUAUUAACACACACAUUACAGAUUUCGUAGUAAUUUAUUUCAAGUUGGUGGUCCCAAAACUAGAUGGUGCCACUAUCAGGCUAUCUAAUAUAUUUUGUUCCGUCUCACCCAGAUGGCGCUCGUGUCAGUUAUCUAUUUUGUUUUGUUCCGCCACGGCCAGAUGGCGCUUUUAUCGAUUUGGUUUGAAAUCUUACUUCAUGUUUGUUUAGUUUUGGGGCACAAAGUUGCAGUGCGCACGUCACUUUUAUACAUAACGUUUAAGUUUAACAAAACGAGAAAUAACUUUGCUUUAGGUGCUUUAGGUGUCUUGCGGGCGAACGCGAUGUCGUAGAACCACCAUUCUUUCAUAAGUAUUCAAAUUGUAUACCAUUGUUAUAUACAUUAUUUGUGUUUAAUACUAGCGGAAUCCACAAAUGUCGUAUUUUUCCACAGUACGUUAACUAAAAUCAUUUCCUCCAAAUAAUGUUGUUUGUAAACUGAUAACUUUAUUUUAUAACUUGCAAUAUAUUUGUAAUAGCAUUUUUAUCGUGCGCAGGUAGAAGAAUGCCCCUCCAACUGCGGAUCGGUUAUCAAUUCUCUUACCCGCUUAGUCCGACUUAGUCAGUUGAGCGCUGCCUCGUGGUGCGCACGUGUUUUAUUCAUUAAUCAAACAAGGUGACGAUUUUACGCGUUUCUUAAUAUGUUAAUUCUGUAGUAAUGCUAGAAUCGGUUGACCAUCAGAGAAAUUUAGUAGUAACAGCUCAGUGUAGCUCACAACGAGUGAUUUGAGUAAUACUUUGCGGUGUGUGCGUGGCGUCCGUCGGAUAUGUUCCGCCGGUGGCUAUGUGUUUGAUGUGAGUACAAGUUUUCCAUUUGUGAUAUCCGCGUGGAAUAGUAAAGAAGUGCGUAUCAUCAAUUCAACUUACAAUUUGCGGAAACGUGUUUGUGCGCUUUAGUACUUUAAGGAUAGAAGAACAAAGGAGUAAGUAACAUCAAGUAGAAUUUUACUUUUAUUUAACUCUUUAAAUCUUACAGGCACCAUAUUAUUGCUUUAUAAUAAUUGUAAAUGAUUCAGUCAAUAAAGGAUAAUUUAAUUUCA